CCACACAAUACAUAGUUAUAUUUUUUUAUUUCAAUAGUCAUUUGUCUCUGAAAGAAUUUUUAAAACUAAGAAAAUUUAUAUUUAUCCACAUAUUUUCAGUCUCUGGUACUUUUCAUUCUUUUUAUAGAUCAAUAUUCCAUCUGGUAUCAUUUUCUUUCUACCUGAAUUAUUCUGUAACAUUUCUUAGAAUGCAAAUCUUCUGGUAAUGAAUUCUUUCAUAUUUUUCCAACUCUAUAAAGUAUUUAGCCUUAGUUUUAAAAUUGUGGUUAAAAACACAUAACAUUAAAUUUACCAUGUUAACCAUUUUUAAAUGAAUGGUUCAGUAAUGUUAAGUAUAUUCAUAGUGUUAUACAACAGAUCUCUAUAACUUUUCUUCUUGCAGCAUUGAAACUCUUUAUCCACUAAAUACUAAUUACUCCUUUCCACACCCCCAGCCUUUGGUAACCAACUUUCUAUUUUCUGUGUCUCUGGGGUUGGCUUCUUUAGACACUUGAUAUAAGUGAAGUCAAACAUUAUUUGUUCUUUUGUGACUGGCUUAUUUUAUUUAACAAAUGUUCAUUUGUUUUGUAGCUUGUUACAGGAUUUCCUGCUUUUCAAAGAAUGCACAAUAUCCCAAUAUAUGUAUAUGUAUAUAUUACAUUUUCUUUACCUGUUUGAUCAUGAAGAUUUGGAUUGCUUCCAUCACUCAGCUAUUGUGAAUAAUGCUGCAAUGAACAUGGGUGUGCAAAUACCAUUUCAAGAGUCUCUUUUGAGUGCUAUUGGAUACAUACCCAGAAGUGAGAUUGUUGGAUCAUGUGCUACUGUUUUCCAUGAUGGUACUGUUUUCCAUUAUGGCUGUACCAUUUUACACUCUUACCAAUGGGGCGUUAAUCUAGCACCAUCAUCAACCAGGCUCAGAAAGAGCACCUCAGGAAAUUAUGCAGGUGUAAGAAGUACAAGCCCUUGGAUCUGCAACCCAAGAAGGCAGGUGCCAUGUGCUGUAACUGAAUGAGCACCAGGGAUCCUGAAGAUCAAGGAGAGGCUAUAACCACUGCAGAAGUACCUGGUUAAGGCCCAAGCAUCAGCAUCAAUAAGACAAAAUGGGAAAAAAAUACAACUACCAUAUGAUCUGACAAUUCUACUUCUUGGUAUUUUUCUGAAGGAAACAAAAAUGCUAUCUCCAAAAGAGAUAUGCAUCCCCAUGUUCAUUGCAGCACUUCAUAAUAGCCAAGACAUGGACUCAACCUAAAUGUUUACUGAUGGAUGAAUGGAUAAAGAAAAUGUGAUAUAUAUAUAUAUAUAUUCAAUGGAUAUUAUUCAGCCACAAAAAGAUGGAAAUCUUGCAAUUUAUGACAUGGAUGGGCCUUGAGGGCAUUAUGCUAAAUGAAAUAAGUCAGGCAAAGAAAGACAAAUACCACUGAUCUCACUUAUAUGGGUUAUCUACAAACAAACAGCAACAGCAACAUCAAAACCAAGUCAUAGAUACAAAUAAUGGAUUGCCGAUUGCCAGAGGUGGGGGAUAAAGGAUGGGUGAAAUGGUGACAGUGAUCAAAAGGUACAAACAUUUAGAUACAAAUAAGUAAGUCAUGGGACUAUAAUGUGACCACACGAUGACCACAGUUAAUAACACUGUAUAGUAUAUUGAAAGUUGCUAACACAUUAAAUCUUGAAAGUUCUCAUCGCAAGAAAAAGAUGUUUGUAAUUAUGUGUGGUGAUAAAUGUUAAUUCAGCUUACUGUGAUUGUUUUGAAAUACACGCAUAUAUUUGAUCAUUAUGUUAUACACCUGAAACUAAUUUAUGUUAAUUAUUACUCAGCAAAAAAGAAACCAACAUAUAAAUACCUAAAAGUAAUUAAAACUUUGUAUUUUAUAAAAAUAAUCUAAAUAAAUAGGCUUUUUUAUGUGUGAAAAAAAAUGAAGGGAGUUGUAUGAUAGUCAACUGUGUUGGACUUGACAUUAAUUUGCUGUAUGACUAACUACAGAAAGGGUACAGGUCAAAGGACUGUAUGGGUUGCAGUCUGACACACUCAGCAAGGACUUGCAGGAGGGCAUAUAGGAGGACCAGUAGUGGUCUGACUUUUCUGACGCUGAUGUCAGUUGAGUCUAAACAUAGAGGGAUUUGGUUUUACUAACUGAAUUGAAUAUAUUUGAACUAUAAUCUGAGGGAUUUUAGUUAUGCCUAUUGAGGUAACAGUUUUAGUUACUAUAUGGAAUAAUAUAUAUUUGAGUAAUAAUUUAAAAAGAAUACAUUGUUUAGUUUCCACAUAUUUGUGGAUUGUCUGAUUUUCCUUCUAUUUCUAAUUUCAUUGUGGUUAGAGAAGAUAGUUUGAAUGGUUUGAAUCUUCUUGAAUUUUUAAGACUUGUUUUGUGGUUUAACAUGUCUCCCUUGGGGGUAUGUUUCAAACUUUGGUUUUCUUUUCAUAUUCCUUUGUGUGUAUUAUGUGGAUAUUUUCUUUGUGACUACCACCACAAUAACAUGAAACAUUUUGAAGUUAUAACAAUCUAUAUUAAACUGAUCACUGGAAGUAUGAUAA